rnacentral:rRNA from 1 species
AUUGAACGCUGGCGGCAGGCCUAACACAUGCAAGUCGAACGGUAACAGGAAGCAGCUUGCUGCUUCGCUGACGAGUGGCGGACGGGUGAGUAAUGUCUGGGAAGCUGCCUGAUGGAGGGGGAUAACUACUGGAAACGGUAGCUAAUACCGCAUAAUGUCGCAAGACCAAAGAGGGGGACCUUCGGGCCUCUUGCCAUCGGAUGUGCCCAGAUGGGAUUAGCUUGUUGGUGGGGUAACGGCUCACCAAGGCGACGAUCCCUAGCUGGUCUGAGAGGAUGACCAGGCACACUGGAACUGAGACACGGUCCAGACUCCUACGGGAGGCAGCAGUUGGGAAUAUUGCACAAUGGGCGCAAGCCUGAUGCAGCCAUGCCGCGUGUAUGAAGAAGGCCUUCGGGUUGGAAAGUACUUUCAGCGGGGAGGAAGGGAGUAAAGUUAAUACCUUUGCUCAUUGACGUUACCCGCAGAAGAAGCACCGGCUAACUCCGUG